rnacentral:rRNA from 1 species
UACGUAGGGCGCAAGCGUUGUCCGGAUUUAUUGGGCGUAAAGAGCUCGUAGGCGGUCUGUUACGUCGGCUGUGAAAACCCGAGGCUCAACCUCGGGCCUGCAGUCGAUACGGGCAGACUAGAGUGCGGUAGGGGAGACUGGAAUUCCUGGUGUAGCGGUGAAAUGCGCAGAUAUCAGGAGGAACACCGGUGGCGAAGGCGGGUCUCUGGGCCGUAACUGACGCUGAGGAGCGAAAGCGUGGGGAGCGAACAGG